UACAGUAUUUCUGGUGAUGGUUGCUUUUUUUAAAGGGUGAUGAUAUCUUUAUUCAAAAUUGGUUCUUUUCGUAUUAUCAAGUCAAGUCACAUCACUUUUAUUUCUAUAGCGCUUUAAACAAAAUACAGGAAAACAGUGUGUCAAUAAUGCAAAAUGAUACACUGUAAAAUUUUUCCAGGAUUUCACAAGAUAUAACUGUAAUAUUUCACAGUUAAUUACAUUAUUACCACUUCACAGGCUUUAACUGUGAUAAUUCACAAUAUAAUACCGUAUUUAGACUUUUACUGUGAAAAUAAUGCAGGCGCGGGGCUUUUACAAGAAACUACUGUGAAUGCCGUCUUUUUUGAGUGGCAACUGCGGCAGCGUCAUCAGAGCGUCAUCAGAGCUCUCUGAUCUACGUGGUCUCAUUCGGUGGAUUCAGACAGCGCAUUUUCUACAUUGACCGACGAUAAAUAAAGUUAUAAGGUGCUUCUUGGGCAUCAACCCAGAGACGGGCACAAAAUCUAAGAGGCAGAGAGGUCACAUGAACCAGCAAGUCUGCACUCUUAUCAGGAAGCUCAUUGACUUCGAAUGGAUGUCAAUCUAACUGGAUAGAACCCACACUAUGCAGGUGCCAGCUGCGAGGGAAGGAGAGAGACACCUGCGACCCUCUCUAUUCCCACCUUUUUGUCUUUUCUUACAUCUCUCUCCCUCACUCUCUCUUCUCUGUCUCCUUCUUUCUCUUUUGACACACAUUCCUGUUACCAGUGUCAAUCCCUGUUGCCCAGUGUUUUAUUCAUGUAAUUAAAUUGUAUUUUACUUCU